AUUGAACGCUGGCGGCAGGCCUAACACAUGCAAGUCGAGCGAGCGGCGGACGGUUGAGUAAUGUCUGGGAAACUGCCUGAUGGAGGGGGAUAACUACUGGAAACGGUAGCUAAUACCGCAUACCAUCAGAUGUGCCCAGAUGGGAUUAGCUAGUAGGUGGGGUACCGGCUCACUUAGGCGACGCUCCCUAGCUGGUCUGAGAGGAUGACCAGCCACACUGGAACUGAGACACGGGCCAGACUCCUACGGGAGGCAGCAGGGGGGAAUAUUGCACAAUGGGCUAAAGCCUGAGGCAGCCAUGCCGCGGGUGUGAAGAAGGCCUUCGGGUUGUAAAGCACGUUCAGCGGGGAGGCGUUACCCGCAGAAGAAGCACCGGCUAACUCCGUGCCAGCAGCCGCGGUAAUUC
rnacentral:rRNA from 1 species